GCUAGUCAUUGCAGGAACUUUGUAACUCAGAUUCAUCGUGUUUGUGCUUGCUUUUCCCCUCAUCCUCCUCUUCCCGUCUCCUUUUGUGUCAUAUCUUUCAGACUGUAAUCCUUAAGGUUGGCUUUAUCUUAUUGAUAUUUGUAAGCUGCUUUGGGAGUCUUCUUUUGACUGGCAUGCAGGGUUAAAAUCCUUUAAAUAAAUAAGCCAACAUGUAAACUAGUGAAGCGGUUCAUUUAGAUAUUUAAGGAUUAGUGCUAAGGUACAAUAAAUAGCACGAUCAGCAAAAAAAGGAAAGAAAUCCAGUGACUUUCACCUUUCAAAAUAGUCUUGUAAAAUGGUAUUUUAGGUUCUAUUUGCUGAAAAACUCUUAAUUGUACACAGAAAGUAAAUGAAUGCCUAUUGUCAUUCAUGAUUAAUUGACCCAUUCCAAUUGUUUGGAGUUGUUGACCUUGCAAAACCUGGUAUUUUGUAACUUUAAAAAAAUCUUCCAUGAACAGUUUGGAAGAACACAGUAAAGCUACUUACAUAGAUUAGAUUAAAUUAAUGUACAGGUAGCCAGGUACAUCAACACCAAACCCUGAGUUGAAACUAGUCAGGAAAAUCUAUCAGUGGAAUAUUCUUAUGCUACAUAGAUUUGUGAAGCUUGAUUAUUUACAUCACUUAUUUGCUAAAAUUCUAAUGUUAAAUACAUGGUGCUAUAUUUUAUAAAAUAAUUAAAUUUAAUUAAAUAAUAUUAAUGCUAAGAAGUUGCUCUUGAGGAAUUCUGAAUAGGUCAUGAAUACUUUAUCUGAUGGCAUGCAUGUUCCAUUGACAAUGUACAGCUAAACAAAGAUGAGGUGAGAAGCAUUUGCUAUUUAAAAUGGAAAUGUGGAUUGACACUCAUAUACAAUGCUAAGUAAGGAAUAGUACAGGGGUUGGGCCGGUUCGUGGUCCCGCAGACGCCAUGGUGGGCCGGAGUGUGUGUGUGCGCGCACACACACAUGCACAAACGCUAUUUCUGGUGUGGAGGAGGCGUGAGCAACUUCCCAUUGGCUGCAGGAGCUUCCUGCAGCCAAUGGGAAGCCGGCCAGCGUCGCAGAAGGCGGUCCCUGACCAGGCGACGGGGGUCCAUAGGCAGGUUAAACAACCCCCAUGGGCCGCUUGUGGCCCAUGGGCCGUAAGUUGCCGACCCCUGAGAUAGUAUAACAGUCUUUCUGCUUUUAAAAAAAGCAAGGUAGCAUGGACAAACAGCCAAGUAGGCUUGCAACCGGGUGGGCUGCCUCCCUAAAUUUUAUCUGUAGCCUGCCCUAAAUUUCCCUCUAAAUAAUUACAUUUAUGGUACAUCCAUAGCAACUGUCAAUAUUAUAUCAGCGUAAAGUUGAUCUUGUUCUUUUAAGUUAUCAUAAGGACUUUACUGGAGCCCUGGAUUUGAAUGAACUUAUACUACAUUUUGCAGCAUUGAAGAAAAUGUUUGUUAUAAAUUAUGAUUUCUAAACUAACUUUUGCUAUAAAGUAUACUCCAGUUGUAGCUUAUUCUUGUUUCUUCUACUGGUGAGUUAUUUUUUAUUUUAAUCUUUUUUGCUAAUUGGUAGCAAGAAAGGUAACAAUUGUUGAAGUUGCUUAGUGAAUUUGUUUGAAUGUUUAACUUGCAGUAAGGCUGCAAAAAAUAAGGGUUAACUAAAAGCAGUUUAUGAACCUACCUUAAAAAGGCCUGCAGACCAGAUAAUCUACUUCCCUACUUUUUUUGUCAUUGUUCCCCCUACCCACAAACUUAUAGGCUGUCUACAGGCCUUAGAUUUGCUUUAAUGAUGCUUUCACCAUUUCAAGCACAGUUUAUGAGCUCUGGACUGGUUCAUUACAAAACUUUUCUUCCAAUUAUACUAGUACUACUAAUUGAACCCAAGUGCACAACGUGAUAUAAAGCACUUGUUAACACAAAUGCCUGGCUUGCCUGCUAUUCUGCCCCCUCCAAAGCUUUCAUU
rnacentral:lncRNA from 1 species